rnacentral:rRNA from 1 species
AGCAUGUGGUUUAAUUCGAAGCAACGCGAAGAACCUUACCAGGUCUUGACAUCCUCUGACAACCCUAGAGAUAGGGCUUCUCCUUCGGGAGCAGAGUGACAGGUGGUGCAUGGUUGUCGUCAGCUCGUGUCGUGAGAUGUUGGGUUAAGUCCCGCAACGAGCGCAACCCUUGAUCUUAGUUGCCAUCAUUAAGUUGGGCACUCUAAGGUGACUGCCGGUGACAAACCGGAGGAAGGUGGGGAUGACGUCAAAUCAUCAUGCCCCUUAUGACCUGGGCUACACACGUGCUACAAUGGACGGUACAAAGAGCUGCAAGACCGCGAGGUGGAGCUAAUCUCAUAAAACCGUUCUCAGUUCGGAUUGUAGGCUGCAACUCGCCUACAUGAAGCUGGAAUCGCUAGUAAUCGCGGAUCAGCAUGCCGCGGUGAAUACGUUCCCGGGCCUUGUACACACCGCCCGUCACACCACGAGAGUUUGUAACACCCGA